AUUCCAUCAAUGAUUGUUUGUCUGGGAAAGUCUUUAUUUCUCCCUCAUAAAUGAAGCUUAGUUUCGCCAGCCUAAUAACUAUGUGAUGUGGUGAUUGCCUUUUCACAUUGAAUCUCCCAGGAGUUCUGUGUGCUUCUUGUACCCGGCUAUCCAGAUUUCUGGCCGGGCCAGAGCCUGUUGUCAGGUGCCACGACUUUGCAGCCACUUCAGGCGCGCCCCUGAGUGUGUGUGGAGGUCUGUGGGGCAGCCGGGCAUCCUCCUGUGGGUCAGAUCGCACUAAGCUGGCUGGCAGAUUCACAACACUGUUCUUGGAGGGGAGUGAUCCACUCGUGUGUAGCCGUCCAAGUUCUUCACCUCCUUCUCUGGAAGCAGUGAGCCGGGAGGCCACCACUAAUCAGCCAUUUUUCCUCCUCGAUGUCAUGUUUUUUGAAGACAUUACACCAAGUAAAAUAAGUUAGACACAAAAAGACAAACAUUGUAUGGGUCCACUUAUAUGAAGUACCUGGAAUAGUCAAAUUGAUAGAAAGAGAAAGUAAAAAAUAAAGAAUAAAGGUAGAAUAAGGCUGGUGGAGGGAGGUGGGUAGUUAUUGUUUAAUGGGUACAGAGUUUCUGUGUGGAAUGAUGAAAAGUUUUGGAAAUGGAUAGUGGUAAUGUAGCAUAAUAACGUGGAUGUGCUUAAUGAUACCAAAUCGCACAAUUAAAAAUGGUUAAAAUGGUAAAUUUUAUAUGUA